UGCGAUAGGGGGACUCCGAGUGCGAGGGCAUAGAGCCCUCGCUUUUCUGUACCGUAAGGUGGUACAGGAAGAAGGGCUGGGCAAGACCGGUGCCAGCCGCCGCGGUAAUACCGGCAGCCCAAGUGAUGGCCGAUAUUAUUGGGCCUAAAGCGUCCGUAGCUGGCCGGACAAGUCCGUUGGGAAAUCCGCACGCUUAACGUGCGGGCGUCCAGCGGAAACUGUCCGGCUUGGGACCGGAAGACCCGAGGGGUACGUCCGGGGUAGGAGUGAAAUCCUGUAAUCUCGGACGGACCACCUGUGGCGAAAGCGCCUCGGGAAGACGGAUCCGACAGUGAGGGACGAAAGCCAGGGUCUCGAACCGGAUUAGAUACCCGGGUAGUCCUGGCCGUAAACGAUGUCCGCUAGGUGUGACGCAGGCUACGAGCCUGCGUUGUGCCGUAGGGAAGCCGUGAAGCGGACCGCCUGGGAAGUACGUCUGCAAGGAUGAAACUUAAAGGAAUUGGCGGGGGAGCAC
rnacentral:rRNA from 1 species